rnacentral:misc_RNA from 1 species
GAUGAAGAAAGCAGCGAAAUGCGAUAAGUUAUGUGAAUUGCAGAAUUCAGUGAAUCAUCGAAUCUUUGAACGCACAUUGCGCCCGCCAGUAUUCUGGCGGGCAUGCCUGUCUGAGCGUCAUUUCAACCCUCAUGCCCCUAGGGCGUGGUGUUGGGGAUCGGCCAAAGCCCGCGAGGGACGGCCGGCCCCUAAAUCUAGUGGCGGACCCGUCGUGGCCUCCUCUGCGAAGUAGUGAUAUUCCGCAUCGGAGAGCGAUGAGCCCCUGCCGUUAAACCCCCAACUUUCCAAGGUUGACCUCAGAUCAGGUAGGAAUACCCGCUGAACUUAAGCAUAUCAAUAAGCGGAGGA